rnacentral:lncRNA from 1 species
AUGCAUUCCCUUCCUUUUCUUCUUUAUUCCCUGUACACUCUGCCCUUUCUUCCAACUUUGCUUUCUUUUUCGCUGCCUCUUUUUUUUCUUUCUUUCUUAAUCCUGUCCUUCCCCUUGUUUCUCUUUCCUCUCAGGACUGGAAAGAGCAUUGAAUUAGGAGCCAUAAGACCUGGUUUGCUACUCCAGCUCUGUCCUCACAACAGUGAAAUCUACAUUCUUUCUUGGCUUCGAAUUCCUUGUGAGUUUUCACUUUGCCCACAAGUUACAAAACAACAUGAAACAAAUGAUGGUCGGUUCGAGGAGUGAACAAGAAGAAAGAGAAUAUCAGAAUGGAGGAGAGAAAGAAGGGGAAAAAAAUAGAGAAUUGCUGGGAUAGCAUAGAGAAUCAAGCUGCAUUUGAGAAAGCUUCCUAAAGGCACUCAAAAUUCAUACACACGUUUUCUAUAUCAAGUCUGAAUUUGGGUUUUAAGGAAGUUGGAAGUCAUGGCCUUUAAAAAGGAGCGAGAACCCCCCUUCUGGUCGCCAGUUUUGAAGCUUGAGGUAGAGGAAAGAGGCAGAAGUGAAUUAGCAGUGUUCCUCAACACACACCAACAUAAUUAUUGCAGUCAUUAUACCUUGAGGAGCAGUGUGUCAAAACAACUUUCUUGAGGUCACAGAAAUUAUCUGUGGAACCAGGAGUCAAGCCCCAGUGUGGCAUUUUAUCCUGAAUAUGAGGUGAUCAGCAGAAUGUGCCAGUGAUUUUCAUGAUCGAGCAUAGAUUUUUUCAUGCUCAACGCUUCUUUGUUCUAACAUACAAAGUAGUUUGUUUUCUGCCUACCCAAAACAUUGUAAAAAAUUCUUAUCAAUUGUGAAACAUUUGACAUCAUAUUAGUCCAAAUAAAAGGGUGACUGGUCUAGGAAGAAAAGAAAUUAUGAUAUUUUAGCUCCUGGGGUGGCUGCAAAAGAGGGAAAGGUAAUUAAUUCAACAAAGUCACUCAGUCUUCUAGGUAGAGGCAAUAGCUGUCUACCCAACACAUAGCUGACAGCUUCCUGGGGCCAUUUCAGGGAGAGCUCAAGUGCUUACAGUCAAUGAGGCAGAUCCCACUCUGUGUGGAGGGAAACUUCCAGGGCAAAGACUUGGACUUUCUCAGAUUUGUUUUUUGAAGGAAGGUAGCAUGUAUGACACUGAUGACACCACAAACACUUGUUGAACAGACAUGAAUGUUAAUGUUAGUCAAACAGUAAAGUCCCCACUCAGAUUGCUCAAGCCCUCUGUGCCAUGUGAAUACACAGGGAAGACACAUUGAUUUUCCCUUUGUUGCUCAAAACAUUUAGUGACUCUCCUGACUUGGAACCAUUUAGGUGGAACCUUACUAGCAAGACUCUCUCCUCCUGGCAGUAUUUGGAUUUUAAUGUUUUGCUAGCAAAACGGAGCUUCUUGUUCUGACACCCCGUAUAGGAUGUUGUCAGCAAGCUGUCACAGCAACCUAAAAUAUUUGGCUGGGAUGGGAGAAAAGCAAAAGGAGCUGUGUUAAUCAGGGUAUGCAAACUGAUGUAACAUACAACCUUCAAGCCUCAGUGGAUUAGUACAAUAAAGAUUUGUUUCUUGUUCAUGUCACCAUUC